GUCUCGGUAGCUCAGUUGAUAGAGCACCUGUACGUGGUGAGACUAGCAAUAACUGCCAGAAGGUCGCAGGAUCGAAGCCUGCCCGGGAGC